AGAGAGCCAGGCAAAGCGAGCUGCAUGCUGCCCUCCUCUGUAGGCCAGGCCUGCUAGCUGGGGGAAAUGGCAAGUGUCUUAUCAAAGCAGGGCAUGGCAGAGUGAGAAGGUAACAGCUUGCCUGAUUGCUGUGGCCAAAACAGACGGUGAAGUUCAAGUACGCAGAGCUGCCAUACAUGUGGUGGUGCUGCUGCUUCGGGGACUCAGCCAGAAAGCUACUGAGGUGCUGAGCGCCGUCCUCAAGGAUCUCUACCACCUGCUAAAGCAUGUGGUGCGUCUGGAGCCCGAUGACGUGGCCAAGCUCCAUGCCCAGUUGGCCCUAGAAGAGCUGGAUGACAUCAUGAAAAACUUCCUGUUCCCUCCACAGAAGCUGGAGAAGAAGAUCGUGGUCCUGCCAUAGACCUGGCUCCAAGGACAUGGAGGAGGCAGGCAGGGCAAGGCACCCAGAGCCAUGCCCAGGUCUUCCAGCAGGUGGCCCUGCUGCUUCUUGAGUGCUGGCAGCAUGGCUGACCCUCGGGGUGGUUUUAUGGUGUGGGUCACUUGGGUCUUCAGGGUCUCUUCCGAAGGCAUCUGUUUAGCACUCCC
rnacentral:sRNA from 1 species